GGCGGACGGGUGAGUAACACGUGGGCAACCUGCCUGCAAGACUGGGAUAACACCGGGAAACCGGUGCUAAUACCGGAUAAUUCUUUCCCUCUCAUGAGGAAAAGUUGAAAGUCGGUUUCGGCUGACACUUACAGAUGGGCCCGCGGCGCAUUAGCUAGUUGGUGAGGUAACGGCUCACCAAGGCGACGAUGCGUAGCCGACCUGAGAGGGUGAUCGGCCACACUGGGACUGAGACACGGCCCAGACUCCUACGGGAGGCAGCAGUAGGGAAUCUUCCACAAUGGACGAAAGUCUGAUGGAGCAACGCCGCGUGAGCGAUGAAGGCCUUCGGGUCGCAAAGCUCUGUCGUUAGGGAAGAACAAGUACCGGAGUAACUGACGGUACCUUGACGGUACCUAACCAGAAAGCCACGGCUAACUACGUGCCAGCAGCCGCGGCAAUAC
rnacentral:rRNA from 1 species